rnacentral:rRNA from 1 species
UACGUAGGGUGCGAGCGUUGUCCGGAAUUACUGGGCGUAAAGAGCUCGUAGGUGGUUUGUCGCGUUGUUCGUGAAAACUCACAGCUUAACUGUGGGCGUGCGGGCGAUACGGGGAGACUGGAGUACUGCAGGGGAGACUGGAAUUCCUGGUGUAGCGGUGGAAUGCGCAGAUAUCAGGAGGAACACCGGUGGCGAAGGCGGGUCUCUGGGCAGUAACUGACGCUGAGGAGCGAAAGCGUGGGGAGCGAACAGG